CUUAAAGACUCAUGCUGCUGUCUUUGAGUGGAAAGGAACACCUAGCUCUAAGAAAAAGGGGGAAGUCAGCCUGACCUGAAGGCACACUCCUGUCAUCAGGGAGCCAAGGCAAGGGGAUCAGAACUUCAAGAUCAGCAGGACAUUCCUUUCUUGCUUCCAUCAUCUCUUUUCUAGAAUCUGCUUGCAGCUGUGUAGAUAGAAUCAGGGGACUCUUUCGUUGGAAUCCAGAAUCCCUGACUCUUAAAUAAAAGGAUUAUGGGGCUCUUGUCCAUCUGAACUAUGUAAUGAAGCUACAUGCUUUUAAAAUAGCUGCUCUUUCCAAGCAUCUACCACCCUGAGAAGAUGCAGAAAAUGAAGAUCAGAUAAGAGGCUUUUCUAAAGGAACUCAUCUAGAAAGCAUCGGACUAGAAUCUCACCCUCUGCCUGCUUCUGAAGCAGAGGUCUUGCCCCUAUAUGCUGCUGAGUUCAAUGAACAGAGGCUGCCCUGACUUCAUGGUUUACAAGGUAAGAUUUAGAAGGCCUGUGACGUCAAGAUCUAUAGACCAACUGUGAUGAGAAGCAGUCGGGGCAGCCUUUGCAAUGUGGGUCUGGGGUUUGGAGUACAAAGUUGAAGGAUGCUGUAAGAAGACACACAGGCAUCCUUAUCAGCCAAUUCCCUGAAGAAAUGGGACCCUGAAGAGACACCCAGAGCUAUAACCCAGUAGCAGCAGACAAUGGCCUCGGCACAGAUUCAAGUCCCUACAUCCCUCCCACGCAGCCUUAAACCGACAUUCCCUGGGGAGAGUUACUAAGCGGGGGCCUUAUGUGAAUUGGAUGUUUAGGACCGUGCCCUUUGCUAUAUUUAAUAGGAAUGGGAAAAAGGUCCUUUAGCAAGCAGCAUGUCGAAGCAGAUAUUCCCACAACCCCCUAAGCUGCAUGCAUCAGAGCAGAGGAGAAGAGUAGCCUGCUGCAUGCGGCAGGAAACUUGGGGAAACUUUGCUUGGAUUCCUCUCCUUCUUCAUACACAGAUAGAUAAUAGAUGGACAGACUGAUAAUUGUUUCCUGCAAAUGGAAUCCAGGAAAAGAGGUAUCAAAGCUAAGGCUACUGAACACAGGAAGGCCAGGUAUUAGGUUAAGUAAUACAGGAGAGGAUGGGGGGAGGGGGAGGGAGAAGGAGGAGGAACGGAGGCUGGGAAAAUUGGUAUGAAAAGAAGGAAAUGGC
rnacentral:lncRNA from 1 species